GACGUAGGGCGCGAGCGUUGUCCGGAUUUAUUGGGCGUAAAGAGCUCGUAGGCGGCUUGUCGCGUCGACUGUGAAAUCCCGCGGCUCAACUGCGGGUCUGCAGUCGAUACGGGCAGGCUAGAGUUCGGUAGGGGAGACUGGAAUUCCUGGUGUAGCGGUGAAAUGCGCAGAUAUCAGGAGGAACACCGGUGGCGAAGGCGGGUCUCUGGGCCGAGAUUGACGCUGAGGAGCGAAAGCGUGGGGAGCGAACAGG
rnacentral:rRNA from 1 species